rnacentral:rRNA from 1 species
UACGGAGGGUGCAAGCGUUAUCCGGAUUUACUGGGUUUAAAGGGUGCGUAGGCGGAAUGAUAAGUCAGUGGUGAAAUCUCGGAGCUUAACUCCGAAACUGCCAUUGAUACUGUCAAUCUUGAGUACAUUUGAUGUGGGCGGAAUGUGUCAUGUAGCGGUGAAAUGCUUAGAUAUGACACAGAACACCGAUUGCGAAGGCAGCUCACAAAACUGUAACUGACGCUGAGGCACGAAAGCGUGGGUAUCAAACAGG